rnacentral:misc_RNA from 1 species
GGGCCAAGCUGAUUUUAACAAUCAGAAUAGCUCCUUUGGGAAGUAUAGCCCAUUCAUAUGGAUCAUAAUGCCACUAAUUUUUUUCUAAAAGAAGAUGCUCCAUUACACAUCCAUUACAAAAAGGAACCCCCAGCAGGGCAGGGAACAAUGGCGUGGUUUUCAUAUCAAGGCAGCAAUCACUAAACUAUAUACGACAGCCACACCAUGUG